UCCAGUCCUAACUCCUAAACGAACUCGAAUGGUCAAAAUUUAUCGUACAUCAGAGCAAAGCAGUAAGUUCUAUUCGUCUCUUCAUUCCUUUUAUGAAAUGGUAUUACAGGCCCAAAGGCGAGCCCAACUGCCACACUUGUGCUAUUUCCUUUUCAAUUCAAGGGAAAAUUGUAGUAGUGGUUCCUAAUAUUUUCGAUUUUUGCAAACUUUACUCUAAUCCUCAUUUUGUGCCACUCACAAUUCUGAAUCUUUCAAAAAUAUGCAUCUGAAGUCCAUAUAGAUGGAAUCCAUCCAUUGACCGUUAGUUGACCAAGAAGAGUGGGCUUUGACCAAUUUCGACUAAAUUGAAGGGGGUGAAAUGGUACUUUACAUUUUCUCCCAUUAAAUAAGUUAAAAAAUAAAAAAAUAAACCAUAAAUAAAAAAUAAAAGAAAGAUAAUGGGGCAUCAUCAUCUUUCCCCACCCCCACCACUCCAAAUUGCAGCAGGGUCAGUGGUGCUGACCGUCGUCCGCCGUCCACUGGCCACCACCACCCCCACUACCACCUUCUUCCUUCGACUCCAUCCCACCACACCCCCACUCUCGCCUCCACCUUCACCUCCACCUCCACCCUAUUAAAACAAGAGAAUCAUUCACGACCACCAACACCGAUCUCCUCACCAAUGUCGGUAUUUUCAAAAAAAUAAAUAAAUUCGUGCCCUACCUCAUGAACAUCUAAUCGUGGCACUGUGGAGAUGGAACAUAUUAACAGUGGCCCAUCGGGAUAGCACCAAAUUUAUGCCCUCGUGUAGCUAAGUAGCAGCCUCUGUCGUCAGCUCCAAAUUCUUAUUGUUGUCCACUAUAACUCUGUGAUCUGAUUUUCCACUUCUCUGCUUUGCCAAUAAGCCCAAAACCCUACUCCUAUCUCAGAUCUAGAAAAUUUUGUAUUGGGUUAAUUAUUUCAGUGGCUUUGGUUGACGUUGUUGAUGAUGUGUGGGUGACCUAAACUUUUGGGUGACGUAGUGAUGGUGGCCGGCCUUCGGGUGGCAAUGUCGACUGUCGGUGUGGGUGGGAAUGGGGAAGAGUAGAGUGGGC
rnacentral:lncRNA from 1 species